rnacentral:lncRNA from 1 species
GACGAUGGGUUAGAUGAGGAUAGCUUUGGCUCGGCCUCAUUUUGGAGCAGGAGCCCCCAUUGAGGACUUCUUCCUCUUGGCAAUAUGGUGAAGAUCAUCAAUGUCCUCAAGCUUCAUGUCAAAAAAAUAUGAAAGUCAGUUGAGAGAAAAUUGAGAAAUAUUGAACAAGAUUAACUUACUUUGAGGAUCGACCAGACUCAAUCUGAUUGUAAAUAAUGUCUCCUCAGAAAGUAGCCU